UACGAAGGGGGGCUAGCGUUGUUCGGAAUUACUGGGCGUAAAGCGCACGUAGGCGGCUUUGUAAGUUAGAGGUGAAAGCCCAGGGCUUAACCCUGGAAUUGCCUUUAAGACUGCAUCGCUAGAAUCGUGGAGAGGUGAGUGGAAUUCCGAGUGUAGAGGUGAAAUUCGUAGAUAUUCGGAAGAACACCAGUGGCGAAGGCGACUCACUGGACACGUAUUGACGCUGAGGUGCGAAAGCGUGGGGAGCAAACA
rnacentral:rRNA from 1 species